UUAAGUUCAGCGGGUAUCCCUACCUGAUCCGAGGUUAAAAUUGUGAAAUUGCUCCUGGGAGCCAGCACAAGAGGGCCACGAGUUCGCGUUUCUGCUGCGCUCGAAGCCAACGUACCGGCCGCCAAUGAAUUUGGGGCGAGUCCGCGCCCGGGGGCGGCGGACAGUCACCCCAUCACAGCUGAGCUUGAAGGUUUAAAUGA
rnacentral:misc_RNA from 1 species